UUAAUUUGUAGUAUAUUGAGUACACCUGGUUUCGACCUGGGAGGUUAAACGGCGAAUAGAGC
rnacentral:tRNA from 1 species